GGCGGUGUAGCUCAGCUGGUUAGAGCAGCGGUUUCAUAAGCCGCGUGUCCCCAGUUCGAAUCUGGGCACCGCCACC
rnacentral:tRNA from 1 species